UCCCUAGUGGCUCAGAUGGUAAAGCAUCUGCCUGUAAUGCAGGAGACCUAGGUUGGACCCCUGGCUGGGAAA
rnacentral:tRNA from 1 species